AAGCUGACUCUGAAUUCUUUGAAAACAAUCCUCUAAGGUGAAUGAACUAUUCCAGCAGUUAAAUAUCCCAGUGACUCUGCUUAAUCCAGGAUACUGAUCAUUCCCUAUGAAGACUGACAAUGUUAGCCAGAGAAUACGCUGCAUUGAAAAGGAAAUACUGUACCUCAGAGAGGCCGGGACAGGAAUUGGAUAGACAUGGAUUGUCUCCUUAUCCUGGAGGGUGUCUGUCUGUAUGAAAUCAUUACCUGGAUC